GCCAUGGUAGUAGAGUUAAUAUGCUUGUUUUAGGCACAGGAGACGGGGGUUCACUCCCCCUCAUGGUU